UACGUAGGGUGCGAGCGUUGUCCGGAAUUAUUGGGCGUAAAGAGCUCGUAGGCGGUUUGUCGCGUCUGCUGUGAAAGACCGGGGCUCAACUCCGGUUCUGCAGUGGGUACGGGCAGACUAGAGUGAUGUAGGGGAGACUGGAAUUCCUGGUGUAGCGGUGAAAUGCGCAGAUAUCAGGAGGAACACCGAUGGCGAAGGCAGGUCUCUGGGCAUUAACUGACGCUGAGGAGCGAAAGCAUGGGGAGCGAACAGG
rnacentral:rRNA from 1 species